rnacentral:rRNA from 1 species
UACGGAGGGUGCAAACGUUGCUCGGAAUCAUUGGGCGUAAAGCGCACGUAGGCGGUCGGCUAUGUCGGAUGUGAAAGCCUCGGGCUUAACCCGAGAAGGGCAUCCGAAACUGGCCGGCUUGAGUACGGAAGAGGGUCUCGGAAUUCCCGGUGUAGAGGUGAAAUUCGUAGAUAUCGGGAGGAACACCAGUGGCGAAGGCGGAGACCUGGGCCGAUACUGACGCUGAGGAGCGAAAGCGUGGGUAGCAAACAGG